UGGUGACCAUAGUGGAGGUGUUACACCCGUUCCCUUUUCGAACACGGAAGUUAAGCCCUCUCACGCCGAUGAUACUGCCCCGUAAAGGGUGGGAAAGUAGGUCGUUGCCAG
rnacentral:rRNA from 1 species